UCUUUUUUUUUUUUUUCUCAUAAUGGCUAAAAUCAUUUUAACGGACAGUUUGACUUAAACUUGAACAUGUAUGCCAUCCUUGGUCGAAUUUGACCAUACAUCAAACUCUGCCACUCAUACAUCUGUCUUCAAUGCAUUUAUGAUGGGUAUAUAUCACUGCAAUUGAACAGUUUCUAUUCCGUAAUUGGAUGUGUAUCUCUUUACUAUAUAUGCACAUAGCAUUGAUAUUUUAAACAUAAUAAAAUAUAUAUUUUUUAUUUGAGUCAAAUAUGCAAAUAGACGGAGUUGCAACACACACUAGUCCAAG
rnacentral:misc_RNA from 1 species